rnacentral:rRNA from 1 species
GUCUAUGUCCUUACCACCCUGAAUGCGCCUGGUCUCAUCAGAUCUCGGAAGUCAAGCAGGGUCAGGUGCCUGGUUAGUACUUGGAUGCGAGGGAAUGUCUUGUCUUGGAUA